AAUUUCAAAACAACAUUAAUAAACACAAUAAAUUCCUUUUUUUCGAAACACAAUAAAGACACAGACGCUCAUAUAAACGCACGUACGCUUACCCUUAUGAACACACGCACAUCAUACUCUUACCUCUAUUUCUGUGAGUAUCUUCGAAGAUUGGACCCGUAUAUCUUGAGAUUUACAAAUAAACCGAAUUAAUCACCGAAUUAAUUAAUUAAGGAAGCUUCCCCCAACUUUAUGGAUGAAAAAGGCAAAUGUUUGGCCAAAAAUAGAGGAGUACAUAUCGGUGCUUUACUGCAGCGCGUUGCGGCGCCUUAACUUGGCGGUCACGAUUAAUCCGAGGGAUUAGCCGGUAGAUAAGCGUAACUUUCACGGAGUUAAAGUGUUAAACAACGAUCCGGUGCAAUGUAUGUGUAAACUUAAAGGCGAAUCCUCCACGCGACCCAGCUGAUGCGAUGCCAAAUUGCCAUUGCUUGUCGACGAACAGUGUAGUUCGCCUUUCUCCUACCUUGUGUGUUUCUGUUCUAAGCAAAGCUAGCCUCGCCGAGUUGUCACUGCGAACUCCGGCGAAGACCGGCCGCCGCCGGUGGGUUCUAUGAUUGGAUGGGGAUCGACGUCAAUGGCAUUAUGGUGGCCGGCGGCCGGAGAGGCCGUUGUGAUAUCUUGUCUGAAUCCGGCGUCUCGCUUUGAUCAUACUAGCUACUCUGAUCCGAUGAUCGGUAGCUCCUGUCUUCUUUGACAUAUGGUGCAUCUAUCCUUUCAUUUUUCAGCGUAAUUUCGAUCACAAUCCUCCUUCCAGUUUCCAAGGAUGAAAUCUUGUUUGAAACUCUGGACCGGAAUCUCUGAAAUUCCUGAAAUGUUGACAAAUGUGAACUUUGGUAGCUUUAUAUCGGUCAGACACUUUAGAGAAAUCCUCUGCUUUUCUUUAGUUUUCUCAAAAGCUUUUCAUUCGCUUGCGAUUUUCUCGAUUACAUAAAGGACGUACAUGCACACAUUCUCCCUUCCUUGUUCCUGGAUAUAAUUAUGCAUUAAAUUUUUAGAUAAUAAAAAUAAUUUAUACUUCUGGUUUCUACACAUCCAUAAAUUUAUUCAACAAAAUAAAAAAAUAUAUGGUGAUGGGACAAACCCCAAACUCUCCCUUAUAUUGACUAGUGAAACAAACAUAAUUUUUAGAGGAUUUUUACAGUACAUUCUACUUGAAAUAAGUAUAUACUUAUCACGGGCUAAAAACCAUAUGUUCAUACUGUUACAAAACAUGAAACAUGUAUAUGAAGUACAAAUUUUUCAAGGGAAAAACUAAUGCCACUUGAUAAAUUAUUCUACGUCGCAGAGGAAUCCAGAUUGAUCUAGCUAGAAACAAAGGAAGGAAGGAACCAAACGAACCGUCGAUGAUCGCUGUCUAUCCUGGUGACGUCCAAGAUAGCAUAACAUAGGUCAGAGGGAGAUGGGCAAAAUAAAAUAUGCAGAAGAAGAGGGAGAAAAGAGAGAAAUGGAACAUCACUCAGGAUAGAUGGUUAAGGGAGUGACAGGUUACACAAAACCUUUUCCAGUUUUGGACUCAUCUUCCUGAUACGGUGAAGAUUCUCCCCCCUAAUAUCUCUUCCUGUUCUGCUGACAGAAAUGAGAGGAGGAGAAAGAUUAAUAGAGUGGAAU
rnacentral:lncRNA from 1 species